rnacentral:rRNA from 1 species
GCCUAAAAGCUAGCUCUUCCAUUAAAUAUAACACUAAAAUAUAAAUAUAUCUUAAUAUACCAAAAACAUUAAACAAAUCAUUUUACACACCUUAGUAUAGGCGAUAGAAAGGAAAGCAUGAAGCUAUAGAAAAAGUACCGCAAGGGAACGCUGAAAGAGAAAUGAAAUAAACCAGUAAAGCAACAAAAAGCAGAGACAAAAUCUCGUACCUUUUGCAUCAUGAAUUAGCAAGUCCAUACUAAGCAAAAAGAUUUCUAGUUUAACACCCCGAAACUAAGUGAGCUACUCCAGGGCAGCCUUGUAAAUAGGGCAAACACGUCUCUGUAGCAAAAGAGUGUGAAGACCCUUGAGUAGAGGUGACAAACCUACCGAACUUAGUUAUAGCUGGUUGCCUGAGAAAUAAAUAAAAGUUUAGCCUUUUCUUUUCUCAAGUUAAAACUAAGCAUUAUAACACCUCAAUACAAGAAAAGAAAAGAGUUAUUCAUAAGGGGUCCAGCCCUUAUGAACAAGAGUACAAUCUUAUGAGAAGGAUAAUGAACACAAUCAUUUAAAGCUAGUGUCUAAGUGGGCCUAAAAGCAGCCAUCUUAAAAAGCGUCAAAGCUUAAAUACACUAAAUCUUUUAAUAACGAUCAUUAAAAUCAUAUUCCCCUUCAAUUAACAGGCUAUUCCAUUAAAUAAUGAAAGUAAUAAUGCUAAUAUGAGUAAUGAGAGAUACCUCUCUCCUGGCAUCCAUGUAAGUCGGAACGGAUAAACCCCCGACAAUUACCGGCCCCAAACCAAGAGGGAAAUGAAAUACAAACAGAGAACUAGAAAACUUUGCAUUUACAUACCGUUAAGCCUACACUGGUGUGCUAUUUAAAGGAAAGAUAAAAAGAAAAAGAAGGAACUCGGCAAAUAUUUUAUAAGCCUCGCCUGUUUACCAAAAACAUCGCUUCUUGAUAUAAUAAUAUAAGAAGUCCCGCCUGCCCCGUGAUUAAAUUUUUAACGGCCGCGGUAUUUUGACCGUGCAAAGGUAGCGCAAUCACUUGUCUUUUAAAUGAAGACCUGUAUGAAUGGCAUAACGAGGGCUUAGCUGUCUCCUUUUUCCUAUCAAUGAAAUUGAUCCCCCCGUGCAGAAGCGGGGAUUUAAACAUAAGACGAGAAGACCCUAUGGAGCUUAAAACGCAAGAACAGAACAUGUUACUUUAUAUAAUUUAAAAAAUAAAAUCAAUUGAAAACUGUCCAAGUGUUUUUGGUUGGGGCGACCACGGAGUAAAACAAAACCUCCAUGAGGAAUAAAGACAUUCCUUUUAAUUUAAGGAUAACAAUCCUAAAAAACAGUAUUUCUGACCACUUAGAUCCGGCUAAAGCCGAUCAACGGACAGAGUUACCCUAGGGAUAACAGCGCAAUCCUCUUUUAGAGCUCAUAUCGACAAGAGGGUUUACGACCUCGAUGUUGGAUCAGGACAUCCUAAUGGUGCAGCCGCUAUUAAGGGUUCGUUUGUUCAACGAUUAAAGUCCUACGUGAUCUGAGUUCAGACCGGAGUAAUCCAGGUCAGUUUCUAUCUAUGAAAUGCUUUAUUCUAGUACGAAAGGAUUGAAUAAAGAAGGCCAAUAAUUUAAUUAAGCCUUCCCCUUAUCUAAUGAAGACAACUAAAUUAGGUAAAGGACAUAAAUCAAAAGGGUAAAUAACCCUUA